rnacentral:rRNA from 1 species
UACGAAGGGGGCGAGCGUUGUUCGGAUUUACUGGGCGUAAAGGGCGCGUAGGCGGCCCUUCUGGUCGCGUGUGAAAGCCCCGGGCUCAACCUGGGAAUGGCAUUGGAAACUGGCGGGCUUGAGUGCGGCAGAGGGGGGUGGAAUUCCUGGUGUAGCAGUGAAAUGCGUAGAUAUCAGGAGGAAUACCGAUGGCGAAGGCAGGUCUCUGGGCUGACACUGACGCUCAUGCACGAAAGCGUGGGGAGCAAACAGG